rnacentral:pre_miRNA from 1 species
GGGGGAAGGCCGGAUCCUGGGCUGUGUCCCGGGCCCUGUGCUCCGGGGCCUGCGCUGUUGGAUUCGUGCUCCCGGCCGCAGCCCCCU